GAUGAACGCUAGCUACAGGCUGAACACAUGCAAGUCGAGGGGUAACGAGAGGAAAGCUUGCUUUCCUUGUCGACGACCGGCGCACGGGUGAGUAACGCGUAUCAAACAUGCCCCCAACUAGGGAAUAACCUUGCGAAAGUAAGACUAUUACCCUAUAAUUUCCUCAGAUGUCAUCUGACGAGGAAUAAAGAUUUAGCGGUUGUGGAUGGGGAUGCGUCUGAUUAGCUUGUUGGCGGGGUAACGGCCCACCAAGGCAACGAUCAGUAGGGGUUCUGAGAGGAAGGUCCCCCACAUUGGAACUGAGACACGGCCCAGACUCCUACGGGAGGCAGCAGUGGGGAAUAUUGGACAAUGGGCGAAAGCCUGAUCCAGCCAUGCCGCGUGUGUGAAGAAGGCCUUUUGGUUGUAAAGCACUUUAAGCGAGGAGGAGGAGCUUCAGGUUAAUACCCUGGAUGCUUGGACGUUACUCGCAGAAUAAGCACCGGCUAACUCUGUGCCAGCCGCCGCGGUAA
rnacentral:rRNA from 1 species